CAAACAGGCGCAUGCCGUGGGAGCAGCGGGGGGCGCGUUGCGUCCCGGGCAGCAGCGAGCGCUGCGGCGCGUGCCUUGGGGCGACGGAUGGCCCCGCACUAGCGGCCGGCGGCGGGAGGCUCGUGGGCCGCGGCUGCCCACGCGCGCAGGCUCCCCGCGCGCCGCCGCAGCCAUGCCGCCGAGCGGAGCUGGGAACCCCUCCUCCGGUGAUUCGCCGCCGGACCCUAAACCCCCUCGCGACCCGCCCGUGAUGGCAGUGCCGCCGCCCCCGCUGAUGCUGAUGCCGGUGCCGAAUCGGGCGUGGAAUCGGGGUGGGAGGAGGAGGAGGGGGAAGAAGGCGAGGGACGAGGACCUGCCACCUCUGCCAUGGCAGGUGUGGGAGGCGGCCAACAAAAAGGUGGCUUGACGAGCGGGGGAAGGGCGUCGGCCACGACGAGGUCCCGGACGACGCCAGGGCCGUGGCGACCGUAACACCACGGCAGCGGGCCCGGAGGUGGUGCUCCCGCUCCUGCGCUUCCAUAAGGAGUGGCUCGCGUGGGUGUUGCCGCACGAGGCCUCAGUCUCGCGGGGCGAGUGGGCGACAUCCUCGCCGACGACAUCCUCGCCGACGAGAUGGGGAUUAAUGAUUAAUCCCCUCUCGAGAUUCAAAGAAGAAACCAGCCGUCGAAAUGCUUGGUCGUGGGACUGAUAGAGAAGGUGUGGCUGCUUCGUCCGUCGCCGUGGACGCAGAGAUUGGUGAAGUCAUACGCCAUGCGCGCCGGCACGGAGCGCAGCACCGUCGCCUCCUCCUCCGAACGCAGCUUCUCUUGGCGCCUGCGGGUGGCCACGGACGGAACUGAGGUAUGGACGCGCUUGUGAUUUGAGAGCAUGCAUUCAGGGAGGCAGGGAGUGCUUUCUUCGUCCGUUGCAAUGCGAGGUGAAAAGGGCAUUUCUUCCGAAUGGCUUAGUUAGUUUGAUGUGCCUUUUUUUUCCUUGCAAAAGAGGUGGUGCUGUGAGUCUGUAGCACAAUACUGCUCAGGUAUGGCCAUCUACAUUUAUGUGAAAUGCAUCAUCCAAAGGAGUACACAAACCCCAAUCUGUUCUGCUACUGUUCUGCUUAGCAGGCUCCAUUUAUUCAGUGCUGUUAUUUUGGAAGCCGAGAAGAAAACUGUGUUCUGCUACUGCUACAAUCCUUGAGCUACGCCGCUCGACAGAAUAUUGGGCGUCAGAAAGAUAUACUAAUUGCUGGCAAAGCUCAGAUCACUGGGUGGUAGGCAAUCCAUUAUCCCUCUAAGAAGAAAAUCCCCCAGAGAUGUCGAUCACAGCAGUGAAACCCUGAAAAUGGUUGCAUGGGGAAAUCAGCACAAAUUACAGAAAUCCAAGAGCCGGUGGUUGGGGGAUGGGGUGCAAUAUAGAUAGAUAGAUGAUGGGGUGAUCAUGCUUACAGCAGAGCAUGCAUUCCAUGAGUGUGAUUCAUGCAGUUGUUCAGGUCCAUUUAAUUUGUGUUGGAGAAUUAAACUACAUAUCGCUGACAGCAUUUUAAAACAUUGGCAUGGCUAUGCCAUCUAUAUCUAUGUGUCCUCUUUUUCAUGGAUCUUAAAUACAUCAUAUUUGAUGCUUCAA